CAUUUGAACACUUUCUCUAAGAUGUCUACAGGGAAUGACACAAAUAUAUCUAUGAUACUACCACUGUCCUCAAGAUGAUUAUAUUCUGGACCAGAGCAGGAAAAGCCCAAGAACAUCACCAAAAUAUUGCCUUCUCUGUUUCUUCUAACUUAUUGGAGUUUGGUACAAGAAAUAGUGUCUGAUGUCUACCUACAUGACAGAAAAAUUACAACAAUUUUAACAGGAAUGGAAAGAAAAUACCGCCAUGAAAAAAAAAGAAAAGAAAAAAAGAAAAGAAAAAUACAUGACUUUUUCAAUUUUCAGGGUGGACAUAUGGAACUGUUCUGGAUUCCAAAUCAGGGGAAACCAGUGUUAAAAUACUAGGGUUUUCCAUUUAUAUUCACAUUUCUACAGAUAUACAUAACAGACGCACAGUAAACUUUGUAGUCUUUUCCUAUGUCCCUUUGCAUGGAUUUUAAUAAAGUGUAAGCUUUUUAAAUCUGUUUCUGUUUU
rnacentral:lncRNA from 1 species